UGUGUGUGUGUGAGUGCAGGAUGAUGGGUGUGUGUGAGUGCUGGAUGAUGGGUGUGUGUGAGUGCUGGAUGAUGGGUGUGUGUGAGUGCUGGAUGAUGGGUGUGUGUAAGUGCUGGAUGAUGGGUGUGAGUGCUGUAUGAUGGGUGUGUGUGUGUGAGGGCUGGAUGAUGGGUGUGUGAGUGCUGGAUGAUGGGUGUGUGUGAGUGCUGGAUGAUGGGUGUGUGAGUGCUGGAUGAUGGGUGUGUGUGUGCUGGAUGAUGGGUGUGUGAGUG